CUUCUAGRAUAARUUGGAAGUCGGGCCUGCCCACUGAAGGARAAWUGAAGGGCCGCGGUWUAUUGUCCGUGCAAAGGUAGCAUAAUCAUUAGUUUUUUAAUUGAAAWCUGGAAUGAAUGGUUUGACGAAAUAAUGACUGUCUAAGUYUGGAAAAUUGAAAUUUAUUUUUAAGUUAAAAAGCUUAAAUGGAAGUUGGGGACGAGAAGACCCUAUAGAUCUUGACAUAAUUAUUAAUUUUAAUGUUUAGRGAAAAAAAGUUAAUAUUAAGAARUUAUGUUUUGUUGGGGUGAUGUGAGAAUAGGAAAACUUCUUUUUAGAAAAACGAAAAUGGUUGGAUUGUAGAUCCUGUAUUAUGGAAAAAAGAUUAAGAUACCUUAGGGAUAACAGCGUAAUUUUAUUGGAGAGUUCAUAUUGAUAAUAAAGAUUGCGACCUCGAUGUUGGAUUAAGAUAAUARUUGGGUGYAGAAGUCUAAUUUAUAAGUCUGUUC
rnacentral:rRNA from 1 species